CAGGACGAACGCUGGCGGCGUGCCUAACACAUGCAAGUCGAACGGAACUCUUUGGAACAAGGCUUCGGCCAAGGGAAUUUGAGUUUAGUGGCGGACGGGUGAGUAACGCGUGAGCAACCUGCCCUUCGGAGGGGGACAACAGUUGGAAACGACUGCUAAUACCGCAUGACAUACAGAGAUCGCAUGGUCAUUGUAUCAAAGAUUUAUCGCCGAAGGAUGGGCUCGCGUCUGAUUAGCUGGUUGGUGAGGUAACGGCUCACCAAGGCGACGAUCAGUAGCCGGACUGAGAGGUUGAACGGCCACAUUGGGACUGAGAUACGGCCCAGACUCCUACGGGAGGCAGCAGUGGGGAAUAUUGGGCAAUGGGGGCAACCCUGAACCCCCAGCAACGCCGCGUGAAGGAAGAAGGCUUUCGGGUUGUAAACUUCUUUUAUCAGGGACGAUAAUGACGGUACCUGAUGAAUAAGCCACGGCUAACUACGUGCCAGCAGCUGC
rnacentral:rRNA from 1 species